rnacentral:lncRNA from 1 species
GAAAUUCUCGUUUGGCACCCAAACUGGGCGGGCGGCCCUGGUGCAGCAGGUUGGGCCAUGUCAUUUCAAUUACAUCCUCCGAAGAAGGCUGCACCGCGCGCCAGCCGAAACUGUUACGAUAAAAUAAAUAUUUGUUUUGAAAUAAUUUUAUGCACU